rnacentral:rRNA from 1 species
UACGUAGGGGGCAAGCGUUGUCCGGAAUCAUUGGGCGUAAAGAGCGUGUAGGCGGCUUGGUAAGUCCGCUGUGAAAGUCCAGGGCUCAACCCUGGAAUGCCGGUGGAAACUGUCAAGCUUGAGUCCGGAAGAGGCGAGUGGAAUUCCUGGUGUAGCGGUGAAAUGCGCAGAUAUCAGGAGGAACACCAAUGGCGAAGGCAGCUCGCUGGGACGGUACUGACGCUGAGAAGCGAAAGCAUGGGGAGCGAACAGG